CCUCGACACUUUCAAAUUAGCUCUAAUACCUGUUUAUCUUCCCUCCCCUAUUUUUUACAAGAACCCAUUGUUACUACCAAAUAAAGCCCAAUUUUGCUUGUUUCUUCAAAAUAACCUUUAGUUUUGUGUCCUUACUAUUUCAGCCUUUAAUACAAUACCCUUAUCAAAAAAGUUUUUUUAUACUUACCAUAUUUUUCCUAUUAUUCUGCCCAGUUAUAGCAUAGAAAAAACAUGGCUGUGCAAAACAGGAAAAAAACGUCAUUGUCAUGGUCUUUUUAAGGAGGCUCUGGGUCAUAUGGGAACGUAUCCUUGUUAUUACAGUUCUAACGAACAGAGACAUACUUUAGGACAUAGAAAAAGCUGUUCCUUGAUCUUGCUUCUCUUAACAAUUGAGCUAUCAAUGAUACUAUUUAUAAGGUGUUGUAGCUGCGGACUGCAAGUUAUCCUAGACCUAUUAUCUUCAUUAUGAUUACAGCACCAACUGAUUAAUUAACUACCUUCUGUGUGUGGAUUGUAGUAACCAUAAAUACACAAUCAAAUAAACAAUAAAGAUGGAAUGCCCUAUCCUGGAAUGGUGAAGAGUACCAUUGAUAACUGGAAUGGUUAAGAGUACCAAAUAAACAAUAAAGAUGGAAUGCCCUAUCCUGGAAUAGUAACCAUAAAUACACAAUCAAAUAAACAAUAAAGAUGGAAUGCCCUAUCCUGGAAUGGUGAAGAGUACCAGACAGUUGCUGCUACAUUUUUCUUACUUGCACAAAGAAUAAUUGUGCCUCAAGCAAACCUGAUAGAAAAGCAGAACAUAUUGACUAAUUUCCCAAUAAAGGCAAUAGAUGGAAGAUGUGGACUGAGUCAAAAAUGAUUGAGAACAGUUUAGCACCAACCAGUUUAUAAGUCCAUUUCCAUGCUAUUUCUGCAAGUUUGAAAAAACAUGUGUAACUUAUAAAGGUUAUGAAGCAUUAAAUAGUAUAUCUUCCGCUUACAUUUUCAAGGAAAGGAGUGGAGCAUGUAAAAUCUGUAAGAGGAUGAUGAAUAGCACAUCAUCCUGAAAUAUGAAGCAAAAUACUACCAACAGUAAAAAGAAUUACUCGACCAAUCAUUGGGAGAAUCGUAUAAACACUAAAUAGAUUUGCAGGGUAUAGGAGAUGAUAAAUGCCAUCAAAUUUAGCCUGAACUAGCUUUAACAGACAAGGAGAAAGUAGAAGAACAGAACCUGAAGAAAUGUAUUAGAAACUCUCUAGCAUAAUUGGCAUGACAUGUCACUGAUGCCUAAGAUGUACCCAACACAAAAGGCAAUUCUCUAGCAAUGUGCGGUAAUAUGAUCCAAAUAUUUAAUUCAAAGAAUCAAACUACCCAUAUAAGGUCAGAUCAGCCGACAUCUGAAGAUAGAUUGAAGCAGAAUGCACAAGUCAUGCAAAUCCAAGUAAAAAACAAGCUAAGGACAUCAACCAACUCAAAAGACAAUCCGUAUGCCCAUGAAAUUGAAAAGAAAAAAAUACUGAAUUAUCACGCAUUUCAAAGAAAAGCAUACCUCCUCCAUAUAUAACUGCAGAAAGCAUAAAUCACUUUCUGUUGAUGAUUUUGAGUCCAAAAUCUUGUCUAAGUAACAUUUCAAGAUUUUGAAAUUUCUGAUAAACCUUAACAUUUGCAAUAAUCAUUAUCACUACCAUCUGCAGUUCAGCCAACAAAUGAUAUAGGACUUAAGCCGACAAACAAUACAUGAGCAAUUCUCCUGAAUGAAUAGCUUAAAUCUUAGCAUCACCAUCGGUAUUGGAAAAACAGUUGACAGACUGAUGAGUUUUAGGCUACAGAUUGUUAGUUUCAUCCAAAAAUGUGGCAUGCACAAUGGUUAACGAAAUAGUGAAAAACUAUGAUUUAAUAUUUGUUCAUCAGUCAUCACUCAUCACUACUGUGGCAGCUACAUCUGAUGGUCGAUGAAAACAUGCACCUGAGAGACCAAAAGUGGUAUCAUCAAGCUGCUGUGACUGCAAUUAAUGAAAUGAUACACAGCUGCAAUCAAUCGACAUUCACUGCCACCAUUGUAGUUUGGGCUCAAUCAUGGAAUUAAUGAGGUGAAGGGAGAAGUUAGUUUGGGCUUGGGCUUUGGACUGUGGGCUUUUCAGCUCUAGUGGCCAGUGAAGAAUUUGGCCAGUCUAAUUACUUGUUUAAUUUUUAUUAGUACGAAAUACCUUUUUCUAAAAAAUACUUAGGGGGUGCCGGCCAAGCCUCUAAUUUGAUGGACAAGUGUGUGUGCACCAAAAAUAAGGAGAAGAGCAUGAGCAGCAUGGGUGCACCAAAAAAUAAGGAGAAGAGCUUGAGCAGCAUACAAAGUUUACACUAUAUGUUGGAAGUUGGAACAUUGAACAAGGCAAGCACUACCAUUAUUAUAAUGUAAUAAUAAUGAUUUGUUUAGUUCACUGUGAAACUGGACUUACUUCUGAAGGUAGUAGCAG
rnacentral:lncRNA from 1 species